rnacentral:rRNA from 1 species
UAAUACGUAGGUGGCGAGCGUUAUCCGGAUUUAUUGGGCGUAAAGAGGGCGUAGGCGGCCUUUCAAGUCGGAUGUAAAAUCUCCCGGCUCAACUGGGAGGGACCAUUCGAUACUGUUAGGCUAGAGUGCAGUAGAGGGAGGUGGAAUUCCCGGUGUAGUGGUGAAAUGCGUAGAUAUCGGGAGGAACACCAGUGGCGAAGGCGGCCUCCUGGGCUGCUACUGACGCUGAGGCCCGUAAGCGUGGGGAGCAAACAGGAUUAGAUACCCUGGUAGUCCACGCUGUAAACCAUGGACACUAGGUAUGGGGAGUAUCGACCCUCUCUGUGCCGAAGCUAACGCUUUAAGUAUCCCGCCUGGGGAUUACGGCCGCAAGGCUA